AGCAGCCGCGGUAAUUCCAGCUCCAAUAGCGUAUAUUAAAGUUGUUGCAGUUAAAAAGCUCGUAGUUGAAUUUCGGGAUCAAUAUAUCGGUCGUGCCAUUGGUACGUACUGGUAUCAUUGGUUUCUCCUUUCUGACGAACCAUGAUGUCAUUAAUUUGGUGUUAUGGGAAGUUAGGACUGUUACUUUGAAAAAAUUAGAGUGUUUAAAGCAGGCUUUAGCUUGAAUACAUUAGCAUGGAAUAAUGAAAUAGGACGUUCGAACCUAUUUUGUUGGUUUCUAGGAUCAACGUAAUGAUUAAUAGGGAUAGUUGGGGGCAUUAGUAUUCAAUUGUCAGAGGUGAAAUUCUUGGAUUUAUUGAAGACUAACUACUGCGAAAGCAUUUGCCAAGGAUGUUUUCAUUAAUCAAGAACGAAAGUUAGGGGAUCGAAGACGAUCAGAUACCGUCGUAGUCUUAACCAUAAACUAUGCCGACUAGGGAUCGGAUGAUGUUAAUUUUUUAAUGACUCAUUCGGCGCCUUA
rnacentral:rRNA from 1 species